rnacentral:rRNA from 1 species
UACCAGCACCCCGAGUUGUCGGGACGAUUAUUGGGCCUAAAGCAUCCGUAGCCUGUUCUGCAAGUCCUCCGUUAAAUCCACCUGCUCAACAGAUGGGCUGCGGAGGAUACCGCAGAGCUAGGAGGCGGGAGAGGCAAACGGUACUCAGUGGGUAGGGGUAAAAUCCAUUGAUCUACUGAAGACCACCAGUGGCGAAGGCGGUUUGCCAGAACGCGCUCGACGGUUGAGGGAUGAAAGCUGGGGGAGCAAACCGG